GUGCCAGCAGCCGCGGUAAUACGUAGGUGGCAAGCGUUAUCCGGAAUUAUUGGGCGUAAAGCGCGCGUAGGCGGUUUUUUAAGUCUGAUGUGAAAGCCCACGGCUCAACCGUGGAGGGUCAUUGGAAACUGGAAAACUUGAGUGCAGAAGAGGAAAGUGGAAUUCCACGUGUAGCGGUGAAAUGCGCAGAGAUAUGGAGGAACACCAGUGGCGAAGGCGACUUUCUGGUCUGUAACUGACGCUGAUGUGCGAAAGCGUGGGGAUCAAACAGGAUUAG
rnacentral:rRNA from 1 species